AACGCGAAGAACCUUACCUGGGUUUGACAUCCUCUGACAUCCGUAGAGAUACGGCUUCGGUAGCAAUACCGCAGAGAGACAGGUGCUGCAUGGCUGUCGUCAGCUCGUGUGGUGACAUGUUGGGUUAAGUCCCGCAACGAGCGCAACCCCUGUCCUUAGUUGCCAGCAUUCAGUUGGGCACUCUAGGGAGACUGCCGUGGUGAACACGGAGGAAGGUGGGGAUGACGUCAAGUCCUCAUGGCCUUUAUAUCCAGGGCGACACACGUGAUACAAUGGAUGGUACAGAGGGUAGCGAAGGAGCGAUCUGGAGCUAAUCCCAAAAAGCCAUUCUCAGUUCGGAUUGGAGUCUGCAACCCGACUCCAUGAAGUUGGAAUCGCUAGUAAUCGCGGAUCAGCACGCCGCGGUGAAUACGUUCCCGGGCCUUGUACACACCGAGACGUA
rnacentral:rRNA from 1 species